rnacentral:lncRNA from 1 species
CGCAAGAGGAGCAUGUAACUCAGUCUCUAAUGAGAUUAAACAGGAUUAUGUCUCUGGACUCUCGAUGCGUCUGCAGCAGGCUUGGUAGCAACAAGUUGGUCUGUGAACAUGCCAUCGUAUAACCAAAUGAAGAGAAACAAACCAACAAGUUAAUUCCUAGCCACUGAAGUUCAGCAGGGAUCUGUAUUCGGCUAUUGAAGCAUUCAACACGGCAUUGUCUCAAAGCCACAGCGAAUGGCACUCUGGUGGGAAUAGAGCACCAUGUGAAAUCUUCAUAAAAUGGCUACUUAUGUACUGUGGUCAGCAGUUGUCUGGACUCUCAAGGGCCUGUUGUGCACAUGGAGGUUUUUCUGGGUCAGCCCAUAUUGUGCUCUAAAAUCUGCACCAUUAACACAGCAUGCAGCUGACACUGACCAUACAUUACCAUCCAAACUGUCCCCAGCUGUCCAGGAUGUCAAGCAUCUGGCAAGGACAGAUGUAAAUGCAGACUCAGAGAAGAAGGUCAAACCAGAAAACUGUGUUCAGCCUGAACGCACAAGUGGCCUGUUCAAGAGACUGCUAAAGGCUGAGGGGGAGAUUCAAGAACUGAAGAUAGAGAUUGAAAAUCAGAGAGCAGCAUGGGAGAUGCGGUUUGUGGAGCUGCAAAAGAGACAACAUAAUCUAAGAGACCAGCUGACCUCUGAGAUUCUGGUAAGGACUGGAACACUGUACAGAGACACUGAUUCAGAAGAAGCAAAUGAAGUCUUUCUAGAGUCUGGCUUGGAGAAUGGACUUAAUCCUGAGGAGAAGGAGCAUGAAUGUUCUAGUAAGAGCUUCCUUUAG